rnacentral:rRNA from 1 species
GAUGAACGCUGGCGGCGUGCCUAAUACAUGCAAGUCGAGCGAACAGACGAGGAGCUUGCUCCUCUGACGUUAGCGGCGGACGGGUGAGUAACACGUGGAUAACCUACCUAUAAGACUGGGAUAACUUCGGGAAACCGGAGCUAAUACCGGAUAAUAUAUUGAACCGCAUGGUUCAAUAGUGAAAUACGGUUUUGCUGUCACUUAUAGAUGGAUCCGCGCCGCAUUAGCUAGUUGGUAAGGUAACGGCUUACCAAGGCAACGAUGCGUAGCCGACCUGAGAGGGUGGUCGGCCACACUGGAACUGAGACACGGUCCAGACUCCUACGGGAGGCAGCAGUAGGGAAUCUUACGCAAUGGGCGAAAGCUUGACGGAGCACCGCCGCGUGAGUGCUGAAGGUCUUCGGAUCGUAAAACUCUGUUAUUAGGGAAGAACAAAUGUGUAAGUACCUGUGCACGUCUUGACGGUACCUGGUCAGAAAGCCACGGCUAACUACGUG